GUCAGUUCUCGGCUAAUUCACCCCAGAAUCAGGCUCCCUCCUCUCUGGUUCCAGGUGCAUCACCCGAGAACCGCC
rfam:Myotis davidii contig220415, whole genome shotgun sequence.